AUGAUGUUGAUCCCUAAGAAACAUCUCACACUCCAAAGUCUGCACGGUCCCUGCUUCUGGAAAAACCUGUCUACAAUACCUUCAUUUCAUCACUCCCAACUCCACUUGUGUCAACUGGAACAUGAACAAAGCUGCACUCAACCCCUCCACUGUUUGCAGGAGAUUCAAACCAGAGCCAGUAGGAAAGAGAACAAGUCUUCCUCAUUCCUAUUUUCCCUUCUAUGUGGAUGCAACCCCAGCAGCUAGAACACUCUUGGCUUUUCUCUCUCCACUCACUCCCUCCUCCCUGAAAGGGUAAAUGCGGAGGUGUGGCCCAGCUCGUUCCUUUUUUGGAGAGGAGUUGCACACAGAAACCACAUGUUCUUCCUCAUACCCAGUGGCUGUCAGUUUUCCAGAGACAACCCGUGAUUGAGAGAGUCCUUCAGUGGCCAGUGCUGAACUGGCUGAGUGUCCAAUUCUGUGGCUUAGUUUUGAGAAGCCCAUCUGCCUGCAGACAUAAGUCACAUUCCCAAUGUCUGGUUUAUCAGUAGGAAAAGAUGUCAUGUUCACCACCAGCUGCUGACAUUCAUUCUAUGUCAUACGGUUUAAGGACUCAGACAAGAAAGAAGAUAAUCAUUAGUGAAAUUCUACCAAACCCCCUUACCUCCACAGAAAGCUCCAGCUCUGUGGCAAGGUCAGUGCGGGGUAGAACCCAGCAAGGGCAGCGAGCAUGCUGGGCUAGGAAGUGCCCUGCUUAGAUGUCCUACCCAGACACAAGCUGCAGGGAGCAUAGCUGACUAGCAACCUUGGAGUUUCCCCUCUGUAUCUACCCAGACACUGUCACUGUCACUGUCAGUAGGACCAGGUUUUCUCCCAUCAGACAACACAGUGUAGCAGUAAUGCUAAGGCCAGGCCAGUCCUGCCUGUGCAGGUUUCAUUCAACAGGCAGCUUUGUCUAAAGGAUUCCCCACCAGCCUGGUCCCCAUUUUCUUGGACCACAUUGCAGCCCAAGCCUCUCUCUUCUUACUCAAAACUGUCUCUCUUCUUCCACCCAUGUUAGAUCAGCAUGGUGGUCUGAAGGCUCUUCCUGCCUACAACUGCUCAUUUCUCCCUCACAGUACAGUAUAAGGCAUCUCCCCAUAUCAUGAUGUCUAAUUCAUCUGGUGUCCCAUUCUUGAAGAUUCUGGACUGGCAGAGAAUGUAACUUCCCAAAGCAGAACAAUGGAGGAGCAUCAGGGCUGUGUUGAUCCUAGCUUUUUGAUGCUAGAAUCCUGCUUUGGGUGGCCCAUUUGUAAGGCAAUUCCAGAAAUCUGGGCACUCACGUCUUAAUAGAAUUUUCCAUUUAAUUGUAUAUUUAGUGAAUAAAAUAAAAAAUGGUUUUAAUUUGGCACGUAAUUCCUCCAUUUCUUGAAGACUCUAGUGCAUGUUGAUCAAGUUUUGGAAAAAGCCAGAUACCACUCAGCCAUUUUAUAGGCCUGGUUAACUGAAAUCUGAACUUUCUCCCAUCUUUGCUCCACCCCAGCGGAAGCCCUAAUAGGUUUUUCUAGCCAUUUCUAACUGACUGUGAUAACCAGGCUAUUUUUUCUAUGUAUGAAACCAUGCCAAACUUUUAGCAUAUUAUUCUUGGCUCACAGAAUACCCCAUCCCCUGUCAGAAGGGAAGAAGAGUGUUGUGUAAUUGAAAGUCCAAGAACCUUUGCAUCCUUAUCUUUGGAAAGGAAGAUGGGCUUGGGCCCUGGCUGUCUCAUUCACAGCUGAGUGAUAAAGAG
rnacentral:lncRNA from 1 species